rnacentral:rRNA from 1 species
UACGGGGGGGGCAAGCGUUGUUCGGAAUUACUGGGCGUAAAGGGUUCGUAGGUGGCUUGCUAAGUCAGACGUGAAAUCCCUCAGCUUAACUGGGGAACUGCGUCUGAUACUGGCGAGCUUGAGUGCAGGAGAGGAACGCAGAAUUCCAGGUGUAGCGGUGAAAUGCGUAGAUAUCUGGAGGAACACCGGUGGCGAAGGCGGCAUCCUGGACCGGCAUUGACGCUGAGGCGCGAAAGCUAGGGGAGCAAACGGG